UGUUGGGAGGUGCUGGGAGGGGCUGAUCUGGCGCUGCUAGGUGGCUGGUCUGACGCUGCUGGGAGGCUUUGCUGUGAGGCGCUGGUUCGCGAGAGUGGGAGGCACUGGUUCGCGGGACUGGGAGUGGGAGGGGCUGGGAGGGGUUGGGAGAGUAGAAGAAUUGGA